rnacentral:lncRNA from 1 species
AUACAGUAUAUACUUUAUUAUUAUAUAUAUUAUAUUAUAUGUUAUUUGUAUAUACAGUAGGCCUAUAAGUGAUAUAAGCUAUAUAAUUCUUAAUGUAUAUAUAUUUUGAUGUUGCAAUCGAAUCAAGCAUACUCGUAGACUUUCAACAAAUAGUUCAUUUCAUUGAAGGGCUAUGCUUAUCGGUACGAUUGUAAUUGCUACUAUUAUUUUUCUAUUUGUUUAUAUUGUGUAGACGGUGCUAUUUAAAUAUAUAUAUAUAUAUAUAUAUAUAUAUAUAUAUUGUACAUAUUCUGAUUAUAUUACUUAUAUUGUUUUGAUUGAUUUAUUCAUCAAAUAGGCCUAAGUCCCUAAACAUAUUACCGACUCACCUUCUGUUGCUAUUUUUAACACCAAAAACAAAAGUCAACUUUUGAACAUCUAACAUGCACAGCGCCUUUGAUUUUUACUUCGGUUUAGUGAUUUUGGCGCUUUAUAAAUUAUUAUUAUAAUUAUUAUAUAUGUUAGGUAUAUGUAUAUAUUUGUGUACCGUAUGUAUUAAUCAAUACGUGAAAUCAAUUCCACUGGUAUAAAGAGACGUUGUCAUCGAAUAGCCAGAAUUGUAAAAGGAAGUACAAUAAAUAAUAUCUAUAAUUCAGUCAGUACUUGACAUACAUACAGGAAUUGUGACAGAUUUCUAAAGUUUCUUCCUCGUUUUGCUACAAGUACAAUGGAAGGAAAUGGGCGCGCCCUUAUAGCGGAUUCCACUACCAGGUUAAAUUGUGGUGAAUUGUUAAAGAGUUCAGGUAGCUUUGUUGUUAAACCUCAGAUGAUAUGUUAAUGCUAGGUCAAUCUGAUAUCGUAUUGACAGGGAAAUAUUUGAGCAGAAAAAAAAGAAUAAACUUAAAAUCACUGACAACAAUGAUUAAAUUUCCGUUUGUAUUUGAUAUAUUUUACUCUCUGUCAUGUUUAACCCGACUUUUCGCUUUAAACCCGCAUUAAUAACAAACGUUAAACAAGUAUAUUCUGAUUUACUAUUAUAGCUAGGCAGAAGACCUAGCGAAAUAGGCCUAUGUAUAUGUUCGCUCGCAAAAUACUCAAGAUACUGAGCCUAAAUUCGGCGAUCUCUUCAGCACCGUCUUGAGACACAAAUUAUUGUAGGCCCACCUUAAAAUUCUGCUUGUAUAAAUUCUUACCAAUUACCAGGGGGGAAGCGCACACUCCCAAAAUCCUCGGCAAAGGCUUCCUCCAUUGAAUAUUUUCUAUGCAAAAAAAAAUAUCACUCAGGUAAAAACAAAUCACCUCAUAUCACCUUAUUUUGCGAGCUGAGCGCCAUAACCAUGAGACCCCCUCCCACUUAACAUUCGCGCCUCCAUUAGCCCCAUCAUCCCCCUUUCAAUAAUCGUUAUAGAUACACGUACCACUGGCUAUACUGUAUAGCAUACAGCCUGGAGCAACAAAAACAAUGCCGAUUGCUUAUCAUUGUCGUCGUGAACUGUCUUUAAAUGAGUAAAAAAGUGUUUCAAUCUAAGUCUCAUUAGAAUUUGUUAAUCAUUUGAGUCCUUUUCUCAGUUUAAUGUUUGUCUUGAAUGAGAUGUUAAUAUAUUUGAAUUUACUCGAGUUAAGGACCUUAUUUUGCGAAUAUUGAAGGUAAAAGCAGUAUACUUUAAUGAUUGUCAUUUAUGAACUAUUUAAAACCAGGUUUAAGAGUAAAAUCUCUCGAUCACAAGGCAGGUUAAUGCAUUAUGAUGAAUUAUAUAUAUAUAUAUAUAUAUAUAUAUAUAUAUAUAUAUAUAAUAUUCAUAAUAGAUCCGAUUACACACUUGAGUCAAAGUAAGGUACAUUUGGUGUCAUUGACCGAAAACCUGCCAGUGCAAACCUUCCUGUUUGUGGUUGUUAUAAUAAUCUUUAGAAAGGAAGAGAGAUAACUAUGGCUGUACAAUAUCAAUUAGUUAAUUUUAAGAAUUGAAAAUAAUAUUACGAGUAAAUCGACAUUCUUUCAAACAGAGAUCAGACUAAAUCGUUAUAAGCCUAUACUUUACACAAAAAAAACAUCGGGAAGCAUUGUUUGAUUUGAAUAAUGUAGGCCUAUCUAUAUACUGUUACUAUAUAAGUAAUCAAUAUUUGAAAAUAAAUCGGUUCUCCAAUCCUAAAGAAUGGUUAAAGUUA